rnacentral:lncRNA from 1 species
UACCAGAUUACCAUUCAAAGGCGGUGCAAGUCUAUCAAUGGAGAAUCCCUCUGGGACAGUGGUGAGAAACUAGGUGCAAAGCAGCAUGGGAAGACCUGGGAACAAACAAUGCGGAAGAGUUUCAAGAGACAAGUAUGCUCUAUGCUUAACAAAGAAAAAUUCACUCAGGUGGGCUCAUCAAGAUGAAAAUAUUUUGAGAAAUGAAAUAGGGGUAUAUUGUUCCCUGACUGAACCUAAUGGGUUUAUAAUGAUCACAAUCUUUCGUCUCAAUCCAAUCUCUCCAAAUCGUUCCUAUCCUGUUCUGCUAAUAUGGAAAUGCUACUGUUUUUUAAUAUCAUUUCCUCCAAAGAGGUUACAAAGCCAUUACUUUAUAAUAUUUGGAAGACAACACAACUCUUUAAUGUAUCGGUAAGUAUGUUUUUUUGAAGAAGAAUAAUCCUUUCCUUUUUAUUUUCCAAAGAAAAAGUGGAGAUCAAAUGUAUCCUAAAAUGUUUCUAUGAAUCAUGAAGCAACUUGAUAACCACAAAGCCGUAACAAGGGAUAAAUGCAAUGAGCAUGAAUAGCUUUGACGUAUGGCUGUCUUCAAGGCAGGACUGUCUUCAUCAUCCACCAUUCUUUAUCGAAAGAAACAGUGGAAACUGAACUAAUUCAUUAAAAAAAAAACCCACAGACAAAAUGUGACAAUAGUUUCUAGGAAACACUCUACAAACAUGUUAGAAAUAAAAGUCCAGAUGGAAGUAUAAGUCUAGUCAUCAAUUGGAAGAAAACAAUUAGCAACAUUGUAAGAGUAGCUAGCUAGUUAAUUUAUGUUCUUCAGAAUCUCUAAGACAGAUCAGAGAAAAAUAUUAGGGGCAAGAAAUCCACG